rnacentral:rRNA from 1 species
GACGAACGCUGGCGGCGUGCUUAACACAUGCAAGUCGAACGGUGAAGGGACCGGUUUUUGCUGGUUCUGGAUGAGUGGCGAACGGGUGAGUAACACGUGAGUAACCUGCCCCCUCCUUCUGGAUAACCGCAUGAAAGUGUGGCUAAUACGGGAUAUUCUGCGCCUGCUGCAUGGUGGGUGUGGGAAAGAUAUUGUUUCGGUGGGGGAUGGGCUCGCGGCCUAUCAGCUUGUUGGUGGGGUGAUGGCCUACCAAGGCGGUGACGGGUAGCCGGCCUGAGAGGGUGGACGGUCACACUGGGACUGAGACACGGCCCAGACUCCUACGGGAGGCAGCAGUGGGGAAUAUUGCACAAUGGGCGCAAGCCUGAUGCAGCGACGCCGCGUGAGGGAUGGAGGCCUUCGGGUUGUAAACCUCUUUCGCCAGUGAAGCAGGCCUGUCCCUUUUGUGGGUGGGUUGACGGUAGCUGGAUAAGAAGCGCCGGCUAACUACGUG